UGUUCGACCCCGAAUAUUUCGACCUUCCAGAACCCUUACACGAACCACUUAGAAACCGCGAUUUGAAGCCAUCUACAAUUUUCGGGCCGACUUGUGAUUCUAAUGACGUCAUCAUGGCUAACUGUAUGUUUCCUGAGAUGGACACCGGAGAGUUUGUCUUGUUCCAUGAUAUGGGAGGCUAUACCGCUACGUGUGCAUGCGAUUUUAACGGUUUCAGCCUGCCGCCAACGUGGUACAUUGCACCCAAAGAG